AAGGGAAAAACAAGAAAAACCUAGGUGGAAAUUCAAAGAAAAAGUGAAGAAAUCAAGGAAACAAGCUACGUAAGUUAGAAUUUCUUUAAUUUUCCUUGAUACCUAGCUUACCCAUGCUUUUGUUCUUGAUUUUCAUGGUUGAAUAUUGAGUUAUCAUGAUGAAUUCAAUUCUGAAAAAUGGGUAUGGAAAAGGAAUUGUUGUUGUAAUAAUUUGAUUCUAGACUAUGUUACUGUUUAGGGAUAGUUAAGCAUAGUUAUGAACAAAAACACAAAAAAAAUAUUCAAUUUCUCUAGGGUUCCUCGUUGGUUGAACCAUGAGGGCUGAAUAUCAAUGGGAAAUUGUUUUUAUUUCAAGGAAAAUGGCUUGAAAAAAUAUGAAUUAAGGUGGAACGGUUAUGUAGAAAAAAUUUCGGUGCUAGUGCACCAAAUGAUCGAAUUUUUCUAUAAGGAACUGUGAGGGUUCUAAUGCUGAAUUUGGCUUUAUUUAAAUGGUAUGUGGUAAAUUAAGGGAUUAGAGGAGAAAUGGAUUAAUUUGGAGGUGAUUUGGACACAAUCGCUAAUUAAUCGGUGAUCGAUCGAAUUUAAUCGAUACCGCGAUUAAGCGAUAAUCGAACGUAUUUUUUCAUUUACAUAUCAAGCAUUAGUAAUUUAAAUUAGUUUAUAUCAAUUUAGGGACAAUAUAGUAAAUUCCUUGACUUUGUUAUUUGUCAAGGUAGUGAGACGUCCGAAAAAGGUAAAAGAAUUGCACCUGAGGACUAUUAGUCCGAGUGCCCCCGAAAUCCAGAUUUUCUAUAUUGGUGAGUGGACUUGCAUUUCAAACUUGUUUUGGGGAAUAUGAAAGAUUCUAUCCAACUUGUCUUAGAAAAUGUACCUUGGGAACAAGCUUUUGUUAAAUGGUUUGAUGUUGUGAUAUGUGAUUGCUAUGGAUUCAUGCACUAUUGUAGUAUGAUGAUAUAUAUAUAUGUGUGUUGUGCAUGAUGAAUGAUAUUGUGUAUAAUGACUAUAACCGUGUGUGUGCACGAUGUGGGGGGAUGCACAUGCCGGUGAUGAUGGUGGCGUGAGAGAUGGAUGAUGAUAGUGCCCGUGUGCACGAUGUGGGGGGAUGUACACGAUGGCACUGAUUGUGCACGAUGUGGGGGGAUGCACACGAUGGUGCCGGCUAUGUGCACGAUGUGGGGGGAUGUACAUGAGUCGGGUGUGAUUAUGAUGAUAUUGAUGUUUGUCUAUCUAAUUAUGCAUAUCUAGACUUAUGAAAUGAAAGCUCAUGAAUGUGAUAUAUGGUUGACAUAUAUGUGAAAUUUGAUACAUUGCACUUUGGGAAUUUUCAUGAGUUUUAUGUUGAUUUUGUUAGUUUAGUAGGAUGGCCUUUUUGUUGAGUGAAGCAAAACUUUUCUCUUGUUGCUCUGUUUCGCUGCAACGAGAAACUCUCGGGUUUGAGGGCCUUCACCAUAACUGGUUCUCGCUACAAUAAGAAGCUUUCUAUCCAUUUUGCUAACUUGUGAAUUUUUGCCAUAUUUCCCAUUUCUUUGGUACCAUAGUUGAGCAUGAAUUUUUAUAAAGUGAUUUACUCAUGUGGGCUUUACAUGAGGGGUUUAAAGGAGCUAAAACAAUUGCAUGGUUUUGAGAAAAUGAAUGCAUCAUGAUUUCGAUAAACAUUCUUUAUGGUAUGCUUGUUACCUUCUUGUUCACUCACUGAGUAUUGUACUCACGUUUUAUAAAUAUUCAUGUUUUAAGAUCAGGUGACUGUUGACCCUAGAUCGAGGAGUCCUCGUAGUGCAUCUCCUGUGUAUGUGUCUGGCAUUCGAUAGUAAUCCCUUUUAUUGUAAAUGUCUCCGUUGGAAGUCAUAGGUCCUUUUGUAUUGUGAAUACAAUCUAACAAUGUGAAUAUGUGUAUGCAAUGUAAAUUGCUACAUACAUGACUGAUAUAGUGCAUGUAUAUUAUUAUCGAUAAUGCCAUUGUGUUUUGGCUAUGUUCACACCCAGGAAAAUGUGUGUGUGUGUAUGCAUGAUAUGAUAAAUUUGUUAAGUAAAGGUAAAUGGAUAGGCUUGCUUGGG
rnacentral:lncRNA from 1 species